CCUACGGGUGGCAGCAGUGGGGAAUAUUGCACAAUGGGGGAAACCCUGAUGCAGCGACGCCGCGUGAGCGAUGAAGUCUUUCGGUAUGUAAAGCUCUAUCAGCAGGGAAGAAGAUGACGGUACCUGACUAAGCACCCCCGGCUAACUCCGUACCAGCAGCCGCGGUAAUACGUAGGGGGCAGGCGUUAUCCGGAUUUACUGGGGGUAAAGGGAACGGAGACGGCGAUGCAAGCCAGAUGUGAAAGCCCGGGGCGCAACCCCGGGACUGCAUUUGGAACUGUGUGGCUGGAGUGUCGGAGAGGCAGGCGGAAUUCCUAGUGUAGCGGUGAAAUGCGUAGAGAUUAGGAGGAACACCAGUGGCGAAGGCGGCCUGCUGGACGAUGACUGACGUUGAGGCUCGAAAGCGUGGGGAGCAAACAGGAUUAGAUACCCCUGUAGUC
rnacentral:rRNA from 1 species